rnacentral:rRNA from 1 species
CCUACGGGAGGCAGCAGUAGGGAAUAUUGCUCAAUGGGGGAAACCCUGAAGCAGCAACGCCGCGUGAAGGAUGAAGGUUUUAGGAUUGUAAACUCCUUUUGUGAGAGAAGAUAAUGACGGUAUCUCACGAAUAAGCACCGGCUAACUCCGUGCCAGCAGCCGCGGUAAUACGGAGGGUGCAAGCGUUACUCGGAAUCACUGGGCGUAAAGGGUGCGCAGGCGGGCUUGUAAGUCAGAUGUGAAAUCCGGUAGCUGAACUCCAGAACUGCAGUUGAAACUGUGAGUCUAGAGUGUGGGAGAGGUAGGUGGAAUUCUUGGGGUAGGGGUGAAAUGCGUAGAUAUCAAGAGGAAUACGCAUGGCGAAGGCGACCUACUGGAACAUUACUGACGCUCAGGCACGAAAGCGUGGGGAGCAAACAGGAUUAGAUACCCCUGUAGUC